GACGAACGCUGGCGGCGUGCUUAACACAUGCAAGUCGAGCGAGGCCCUCCUUCGGGUCUAGUGGCGCACGGGUGCGUAACGCGUGGGAAUCUGCCCUCAGGUACGGAAUAACUCAGGGAAACUUGAGCUAAUACCGUAUAAUGACUUCGGUCCAAAGAUUUAUCGCCUGAGGAUGAGCCCGCGUCGGAUUAGCUAGUUGGUGAGGUAAAAGCUCACCAAGGCGACGAUCCGUAGCUGGUCUGAGAGGAUGAUCAGCCACACUGGGACUGAGACACGGCCCAGACUCCUACGGGAGGCAGCAGUGGGGAAUAUUGGACAAUGGGCGAAAGCCUGAUCCAGCAAUGCCGCGUGAGUGAUGAAGGCCUUAGGGUUGUAAAGCUCUUUUACCCGGGAUGAUAAUGACAGUACCGGGAGAAUAAGCCCCGGCUAACUCCGUGCCAGCAGCCGCCGUAAAAC
rnacentral:rRNA from 1 species